UUUGUACUUUGUACUCUAGAAUUUCAUUUGCUUUCUAUUAUAGUGACAAAACGCAUGACUUUGGGUUUCUCAGCAUCUUCAUUUGCUUCUAUCACAGUGGCAAUUAGCGUAAAUUUCUCCAUUCGGUUUAUUUCUCACUAUUCAAAGUUAAUUUUGAGAUUUUGUUGUCCACCGACGAGGGCACUUCUGCUGGAUAUUCCGUUCAUCUGAUUUUCACAAAGUAGAAUGAUCACGCAAGGCCAUUAAUACCACACAUUGUGAAAUUAAAAGGUGAAGAGAUACUUUUCCUGAGGUGAAGAGAAAACGUGAAAAGAGAAGAGAGUAAGGAUACAUCUAAAUCUAGGCCACGUGGUGUAAUUAGCAACUCUGGACGUGGCAGCAAGGGAGGUACAGAACGAUAUGUUAGGUAUGGUGGGUCAGAGUCAACCAAACCUAUUUCUGGAUACAGAAAAGUGAAUGGAUCAAAUACAAGUAAACCGAUUUCUACUCCUAGAGUUUUUGGAAGUAACAUAGCCAGGAGGGCUACAACCAUCAGAUUAGUGGCUCUCUACCAUGUUGAUCUUGAUUUCCCUGUAUAUUAGUGGCUCUCUACAAUACUGGUCUUGUUAUAUCCGACUUUUCCCUUUGAACCAUCGGUUCGGACACUCAGUACCCAGAUCAUACUUAUCACGUUCUGCGCCACAUCCAACAACAGUUUUGGUGAGUCUCAUCAUUCAAGGACUAGUUAUCAGUGUUUAUUUUCCGCUUUCUUUUAGUUACAGUUAGUUGGAGUUGUUAGGGGCUUGUCCCAACAACUCACUAUGAUUUAGAGGCUUUCAGACAGAUAUUUAGAUUUUCAAAAUGUUGGUUUGCCAGACAGUUUUAUUUCUAGUUUUUAGUUGAUAUUCAGCAUUUCACUAUUUUAUUUCCAUCAGUUAUUUCAGUUUAGCUUCCUCCCA